GACGAACUGUCCUACCGUUGUUCGGAAUCACUGGGCUUAACGGGCGCGUAGGCGGUCCGACAAGUCAGGGGUGAAAUCCUGCAGCUUAACUGUAGAAGUGCCUUUGAUACUGUCGGUCUGGAGGGAGAUAGGGGUGUGCGGAACUCACAGUGGAGCGGUGAAAUGCGUUGAUAUUGUGAGGAACGCCGGAGGCGAAAGCGGCGCACUGGAUCUCUUCUGACGCUGAGGCGCGAAAGCUAGGGGAGCAAACGGG
rnacentral:rRNA from 1 species